rnacentral:snRNA from 1 species
UCUGGCUUUAGUUAGAUUGAAUA